AAGUUGUUUCUCGCUGUCCUCCUCUUCGAUCAAAGUGAUUAAUUAGGGGUUGUGUUUUCGUUUUGAUUUGUUAUGCAAUUGCUUCAUUUUUUUGGGCAAUUGAUUCAAUCAACUCGCUAUCAAUUGUUUGCUUCCCACUCUCUCUCUGCCUCUGCUCUUCUCGCUAUCAAUUUUUAGGGUUUGAGAUUUUGUUAUACGAAUGCUUCAUCUUUUGGUGCAAUUGUUUUAAUCUGUGGAGGCGGACAACGACAUCACGGUUUCUUAUUUAUGUCACCAAGUAAGAUCGAUACAAAAUCACAAACGAUCUAAAACCUCCAAAAGUCUUGUUACAGGAGGCGAGCACAUUAAGAGGAAAGUUGCUAGUUCUCAAUCGCUGGCACCUUUUCUGAGCGGAGCUGGUGAAAAUGAUGUCAAGAGACUCAAGACGCUGUAUUCUAAUGUUUUGAAGGCAUCUGGAAAGGAAGUGUCUUCACAAAACAAUGAGGUUUUAAAGUGGCUGGAAUAUAGAGUUAGCCGUGUUUGCAGCUUUGCAUUCUGUGCUUAGCCUCUCAGAUUCAGCCAAGGAGAAGAUCCCACAUGUCAUAAGAUGGAUGAACUACAUCCAGGUAGGAUCAACAUGUCGAGACUUAAUUUUAAUCCAACAUGUCGAGGUUCCUUAAUUCUCCUCUCUAAAAUUUCCCUGGAAAUGAUCUUGUCUGGAGCUAUAAACAAAUGCCUCAUCCUAUGAUCGAGGUAAUUUCAAUUACCUCUUUGAACUACCCCUUGGUGCCUGAAUGCAAAUUAGCUUGU